rnacentral:lncRNA from 1 species
GCUGCAGCUACUCCUGCUGUCCACACCGUUCCACAGUAUAAAUAUGCUGCGGGAGUUCGCAAUCCUCAGCAACAUCUUAAUGCACAGCCACAAGUUACAAUGCAACAGCCUGCUGUUCAUGUACAAGGUCAGGAACCUUUGACUGCUUCCAUGUUGGCAUCUGCCCCUCAAGAGCAAAAGCAAAUGUUCAUAUGCUCGAGAGUCCAGAGUCACUCUGUUCUAAGGUUCAUGAAGCUAGCUAUAUUACAAGCCCACCAAGCUAAAGAGGCUACCCAGAAAGCAGUUAACAGUGCCAUUGGUGUUCCUGCUGUUUAA